rnacentral:sRNA from 1 species
AAAAAAAACGAAAAAAAAA